CGGCGAGUGAAGAGGGAAGAGCUCAAAGUUGGAACCUGUUUGGCUUAGCUAAACCGGAUUGUAAACUGGAGAAGUGUUUUCCUGGCACGCCAGACUGAUAAGUCCUUUGGAACAGGGCAUCAUAGAGGGUGAGAAUCCCGUGAUCGGUCUGAGCUGUUGUCUUUUGUGAUACACUUUCAAAGAGUCAGGUUGUUUGGGAAUGCAGCCUAAAUUGGGUGGUAAAUCUCACCUAAAGCUAAAUAUUGGCGAGAGACCGAUAGCGAACAAGUACCGUGAGGGAAAGAUGAAAAGAACUUUGAAAAGAGAGUUAAACAGUAUGUGAAAUUGUUGAAAGGGAACCGUUUGGAGUCAGACUGGCUUUGUCGUGAUCAAUCUGGGUUUCGACCUUGAUGCACUGACGGCAGAUGCCUGCCAUCGACAGUUUUGUCUGGAGGAAAAAACUAAAGGGAAUGUGGCCCCUCGGGGGUGUUAUAGCCCUUUAGAAAAUACUCUGGAUGGGACUGAGGAACGCAGUGGAUGCCUUUUGGCGAAAUUGCUAGGCGCUUUUGUUGAUAGAUGCUGGAAUUUCUGCUUCGGGUGGUGCCAGUGUUUAAAGAUAAAACUCGCUUGGUAUAUUUUCUAUCCACUUAGGUUGAUGGCUUAAUGACUCUAAAUGA
rnacentral:rRNA from 1 species